rnacentral:rRNA from 1 species
UACGGGGGGGGCAAGCGUUGUUCGGAAUUACUGGGCGUAAAGGGCUCGUAGGCGGCCAACUAAGUUGGACGUGAAAUCCCCAGGCUCAACUCCAGAACUGCCUUUGAUACUGGGAAGCUUGAGUCCGGAAGAGGUGAGUGGAACUCCGAGUGUAGAGGUGAAAUUCGUAGAUAUUCGGAAGAACACCAGUGGCGAAGGCGGCUCACUGGUCCGGUACUGACGCUGAGGUGCGAAAGCGUGGGGAGCAAACAGG